rnacentral:rRNA from 1 species
UCANCCAUAGUUCGCUUUGGAAACUGUCAAACUNGAGUGCAGAAGGGGAGAGUGGAAUUCCAUGUGUAGCGGUGAGAUGCGUAGAUAUAUGGAGGAACACCGGUGGCGAAAGCGGCUCUCUGGUCUGUAACUGACGCUGAGGCUCGAAAGCGUGGGGAGCGAACAGGAUUAGAUACCCUGGUAGUNCACGCCGUAAACGAUGAGUGCUAGGUGUUGGGUCCUUUCCGGGAUUCAGUGCCGCAGCUAACGCAUUAAGCACUCCGCCUGGGGAGUACGACCGCAAGGUUGAAACUCAAAGGAAUUGACGGGGGCCCGCACAAGCGGUGGAGCAUGUGGUUUAAUACGAAGCAACGCGAAGAACCUUACCAGGUCUUGACAUCCCGAUGCUAUUUCUAGAGAUAGGAAGUUACUUCGGUACAUCGGUGACAGGUGGUGCAUGGUUGUCGUCAGCUCGUGUCGUGAGAUGUUGGGUUAAGUCCCGCAACGAGCGCAACCCCUAUUGUUAGUUGCCAUCAUUCAGUUGGGCACUCUAGCGAGACUGCCGGUAAUAAACCGGAGGAAGGUGGGGAUGACGUCAAAUCAUCAUGCCCCUUAUGACCUGGGCUACACACGUGCUACAAUGGUUGGUACAACGAGUUGCGAGUCGGUGACGACGAGCUAAUCUCUUAAAGCCAAUCUCAGUUCGGAUUGUAGGCUGCAACUCGCCUACAUGAAGUCGGAAUCGCUAGUAAUCGCGGAUCAGCACGCCGCGGUGAAUACGUUCCCGGGCCCUGUACACACCGCCCGUCACACCACGAGAGUUUGUAACACCCGAAGUCGGUGAGGUAACCUUAUGGAGCCA